UAGGGAAUAUUGGACAAUGGGUGAGAGCCUGAUCCAGCCAUGCCGCGUGCAGGAAGAAGGCGUUAUGCGUUGUAAACUGCUUUUGCCAGGGGAUAAAAAGACCGUGCGCGGUUAAUUGAAGGUACCUGGUGAAUAAGCCACGGCUAACUACGUGCCAGCAGCCGCGGUAAUACGUAGGUGGCAAGCGUUGUCCGGAUUUAUUGGGUUUAAAGGGUGCGUAGGCGGUUUAUUAAGUCAGUGGUGAAAGACGGUCGCUCAACGAUUGCAGUGCCAUUGAUACUGGUAGACUUGAGUAUGAUUGAGGUAGCUGGAAUGGAUAGUGUAGCGGUGAAAUGCAUAGAUAUUAUCCAGAACACCAAUUGCGUAGGCAAGUUACUAAGUCAUAACUGACGCUGAGGCACGAAAGUGUGGGUAUCAAACAGGAUUAGAUACCCCCGUAGUCCCUGAGCGGGCUGGCAAGGCGCAU
rnacentral:rRNA from 1 species